UUCAUGUUUAUUUUUGAGAGAGAGAGAGACAGAGGGUGAGCAGGGGAGGGGCAGAGAGAGGAAGACACAGAAUCCGAGGCAGGCUCCAGGCUCUGAGCUAUCAGCACAGAGCCAGACAUGGAGCCUGAACAUGUGAACCUUGAGAUCAUGACGUGAGCCGAAGUCGGCCACUUAACCGACUGAGCCACCCAGGCACCCCUAGGUCUUAGCUUUUAAAUCCUAUUCUUAAAGGAACCAGGGCUCCCUGGAGAACUAAUUGAUUUCAGGGCUGGAGUAGUGGAAAUACAAGAUGAGCCUAGAGAUCUUGUGCUACCAGAGUGCUUAAAAACAAACAAAAACAGUAUAUCAACGUUUUUUUUAAAUCAACCAGAAAAAAACCAAGCUGAAACAACUGAAAUAAUGAUAGUACUGAAUUCUAACCCAAAGAAUUAUAACACCAUCAAUUCUUGGUGACUAUGAAUAAAGCUACUAUAAACAUAUAAACAGAUAAAGCAAUUUCAGGUUUUGGUAUGAACAUGUUUUUAUUUCUUUUGGGAAAAUUAUCUAGCAGUGGUAAACAAAUAUCCAUGAGUCCCCACUGAUACCGGUAAGUGAAUUAAGAAAUGGCAUUGGAGGAAAAAGAAGCAACAGCUCUUCUUUUCUGAAGAAUUCCAAAUUUAAACAUAGAAGGAAUAUGGGGAAUAGAAAAUCACCAUCAGAACACCACUUUGGGGGCACCUGGGUGGCUCAGUCGGUUGAGCAUCCGACUUCAGCUCAGGUCAUGAUCUCAAGGUUUGAAAGUUCAAGCCUCAUGUCAGGCUCUUUGCUGUCAGCACAGAACCUGCUUCAGAUCCUCUGUCCCUCUCUCUCUGUCCCUCCCCUGCUUGCACGGUCUCAAAAACAAAUAAUUUACUUAAAAAAAAAAAAAAGAA